UUAGUUUAUGACUAUGGAAAUAAUUUUUUAUUUUUAUUUUUAUUUUUAUAAACUUCUUUUUUGUGAGGUAAAUUGCACUCAAACCGCCAGAGCUUUCAGUAUCAAGGUAGUAUCAAUGUAGUGCCAAGAAAUUGCUAAGAUUGGAACAGCCAUCUAACUUAAUUAAUGGCUAAGAUUUUUUUGAAUACGUAUCUGUAGAAUAUAUACACUCACUUAUUGCUCUCAGAUAAAUCUCUAGCUCCUAGUAAUUUGUUUCAUAAUUAAGCUAGGUUCCAUGGCUGCUUCUUCUUCAUCAUCAUCAUCGUCAUCACUGCAUGGAUCUGAAUAUGAUGUGUUCUUAAGUUUUAGAGGGGAAGACACUCGCAAAACCUUUGUGGGUCAUCUCUACACAGCUCUAGACCAGAGAGGAAUUAGGACCUUCAAAGAUGAGGAAAGGCUUGAGAGAGGAAAAUCUAUAUCUUCAGAAAUGGUGAAGAAUAUUAAUGAAUCGAGAAUUGGCGUGAUCGUUUUCUCCAAAAACUAUGCUUCUUCGUCAUGGUGCUUGGAUGAACUGGUGGAGAUCCUUGAGUGCAGGAGGACCAAGGGGCAAAUAGUUUUGCCCAUCUUCUACCAUGUCAAAGCGUCGCGAGUUCGGUACCAGAAGAGGAGUUUUGCGGAAGCAUUUAGACAGCAUGAAGAAAAUUACAAAGAGGACAUGGAAAGGGUUAAGAGAUGGAGGGACGCUUUGAAGGAAGCAGCAAAUCUAAGCGGCUUGGAUUUACAAGAUGCAGCUAAUGGGUAUGAGGAUAAGUUUAUCAAAAAUAUUGUACAAGUGAUUUUAGAAAAAUUGCAACCUAAACCAUUCAGAGUUGCUAAGUACGAAGUGGGUAUCGAUGCACGCGUAGACAAAAUAAUUACAUUGCUAGACGAGGAUCAACUCUUUGUUGGAAUUUGUGGAAUUGGAGGAGCAGGUAAGACCACCGUUGCCAAAGCGGUUUUCAACCGUAAAUCAAAAGAUUUUGAAAGAAGUUGCUUUCUUGAAAAAGUGAGAGAAGAGCUAGCAAAGGAUGGUGGUCUAGCUAAACUACAAACCAAGCUUCUCAGGGAGACCCUAAGGGAUCAAACUAUAACAAUAUCAGAUCCUGAUAGGGGAAUCAAUGAGAUAAAGGAUAGACUUGGUAAUAAAAGGUUUCUUCUAGUGCUUGAUGAUGUAGACGACCAAAAUAUGUUGCAGUACUUCGUUGAACAGGAAUGGUUUUGUAGUGGUAGUAGGAUCAUCCUAACAACUAGAGAUAAACAAUUGUUGGAAAAGUAUAAUGUUAGAACAUACCAUCUUAAGUUAUUAAAUGAGAGUGAAGCGCUACAACUUUUCAGUUGUCAUGCAUUCAAGCGGGAAAAGCCUGAAGAUGAUUAUGAGGAACUUUCACACCGUGCAAAAGAUUAUGCCAAGGGCCUUCCACUUGCUCUCCAAGUUUUGGGUUCUCUUUUAUACAAAAGAGGAAAACAAUAUUGGUCAAGUAUAUUGGAUAAGUUGAAGACCAACCCUCCCAAAGAAAUCAAGGAAAAUGUUUAUCGUGUUUUAAAGAUUAGUUAUGAAGGCCUUAAUGAGGAAGAGAAGGAUAUUUUUCUUGAUAUCGCGUGUUUCUUCAAUGGAUGCCAUAAGAAAUAUGUCAUGAAUGUUUCUAAGUUGCCUGAAUCUGACGUGGCCGUUGGAAUACAAAUUCUUAAUGAGAGGUCCCUCAUUAAUAUGUCAGAAAAAAAUGUGGUGUUAAUGCAUGACUUGAUACAAGAAAUGGGCAGAGGAAUUGUUCGUCAAGAAUCUAAAGAACCUAGAGAACGCAGCAGGUUGUGGUCUUGUGAUGACAUCUGUCAUGUAUUCGCUGAAAAUAUGGUGACAGAAAAAAUCGAAGCUAUUAUGCUACCCAACAAUGGAUUAUCUUUAGAGGGAGGGUUGUAUGUAAGAGCUGAUGCGUUCACAAAGAUGAGGAAGUUACGAAUACUCAAAAUCAAUGGUGUACGGCUUGAUGGGUGCCUUACAGAUCUUUCAAAUGAGUUAAGGUAUCUUGAGUGGGAUGGCUAUCCCCAAGAAUAUUUGCCAUACAAUUUUCAUCCGAAAAGACAUGUUCAACUCCAUUUACCUAAUAGCCUGAUCAAAGGGAUUUGCACGAAUUCAAAAUUUCUAGAGAGGUUGAAAGUCCUUAAUCUCAAUUUUUGCCCAUAUCUGGUAAAUCCUAAUAUUCCAGAGUUUCCUUUUCUGGAGGAAUUGUAUCUCGGAGGCUGUGACAGUUUGGUUGAAGUUGAAUUUGAGGAUGGGAAGGUAAUGUUAUUAUUUAAGGUGCAUUAUGCUUCUCUUUGCCAAUUAUUUUGUUAAGUUGUUUGAAGAUGAUUUAUAUCACAAAUUGACCUCAUAUAUAUUUUACGACAAUUUUUAGAGAAACCCCUAAGUUUUCUUACUAUACAUAUACAAUGUUUGGUGAUUUUCAUUUGUUAUAAGGACUUUUAAAAUUAUCAAGUUUUCUUACUAACAAAGCAAAAACAAACAAAAAACAAAAAUAAAAUGUUUGAUGAUUUUCAUUUUUCAGCAACUUGGUAACAUGACGGAUCAUUGAAACUAAAUUCACCGGGAAAAAAAUUGUCAAGAACCUCCUCGAGGGUACAUUUGGAAAAUUGUCCAAACAAACAAUAAUACUGAUAGCAGCUAUCACUUAUAAAAAAAUAUUAAAUAAGUAAUUAAAAUGGCAUAACAGAUUUAGAUUAUAUACCAAGUAAAUUCAUUACAGAUCUUGCAUGUCAUCAGUACUAUAAGGUGGUUCAGUUUUAUGGAUGAACAGUUCAUUACUAGUUCCAAAAAUAGUUGGUUACUAUUUAGAUGUAAAAAAGAAACAAUGAUAAUACUAAUAAAAAAAAUGAACCAAUAGCGAUUGAGAUGUUCUUUGUACGAGGCAAAUCUUCGUUUUUUUUUUUUUUUUCCUUAGUAAGUUUAAUUCUUUUUUGUUCUCUUGUUUUUAGGUAAAAAAAUGACUUGACAUAAGAAAAAAAUAUAUAUUUUCCUCUUACUGAAUGCCAAUUGAAAUAAACUAAUUAAACAAAUGUCAUUGACCCCAUAUAGUUUCAGUAACUCUCUCGUUCCUUGAGUAUAUUUUUUUUUCUGUAUGUUAUUUUAUUUUAUUUUUUUUAUUUUUCAGAUUGUGAGGGAUGGAUAAGGAAAAGGAAAAAUGUAAAAGAAAAAAUUAAAGGAAACUGAACAUUAUUAUUGAGCUCUCGUGUUUUUAUUUUAUUUUAUUUUUUUAUCAUUUAAUUUUCUAUUUUAGCAGAUUCUAGACAAGUUAAGAAUCAUUUGUCUCGGUUCAGGUCAAAAUUUGAAGAAAACUCCUAAUGUGUCCGGGUUGUCAUGUCUGGAGACAUUAGAUCUUUCGGGCUGUACAAGUUUGACUGAGGUUCACUCGUCCAUUGAAUUUCACGAGAGGCUUGGGAGCUUGGAUUUUCGUUGGUGUAAAAAUCUAAAGAGUCUCACAACAAAAAUUAAUUCGAAAUCUCUCAAAAGUAUAGAUUUUGCUCGGUGCUCAAAACUUGAGUACUUUCCAGAGAUGGAAGGAGAUAUGGAAUGUAUAAAGGUUAUUCGUUUAGAUGGGACUGCACUAAAAGAAUUACCUUCAUCGGUAGUUAAACAUCUCAAAAAGCUUCGUUCUUUGAAUAUGGGCGGCUGCAAAAUGCUUAAAAGCUUGCCGUACAAUAUUGGUGAAAUGGAGAGUUUACAAGAGCUCGUCUUAAAAGGAACUGUAAUAAAAGAUUUACCUCCAUCAGUUGUACGUCUCAAAAGGCUUAGCUGUUUAGAUAUGGGGGACUGCAAAAUGUUUGAAAGUUUGCCAAGCAAUAUUGGUGAAAUGGAGAGUUUACGAGAGCUUGUCUUAAAAGGAACUGUCAUAACAAAUUUACCUCCAUCGGUUGUACAUCUCAACAAGCUUUGUUCGUUAGAUGUAACCGACUGCAUAAUGCUUGAAAAUUUGCCAAGCAAUAUUGGUGAAAUAAAGAGGUUAAAUAAUCUUUGUUUGAGAGGCAGUGGUAUAAAAAAGUUACCAUCAUGGACUAACCAUGGAAAAUUAGAUUGGAGUAACUGCAAUUUAGAUGAUGAAUCCAUUCUUAAUCUUCCUCAGUCAUUGAGGGAUUUGAAUCUAAGCGGGAACAACUUUGUUAGUUUACCAACAAGCUUCACCCAACUUACAAGGCUUGCAUCGCUUAACUUGGAGGAUUGCUUAAGCCUCCAAAAAUUGGAGUCACUUCCAUCAUCUAUACAUUCUGUUUUUGCAAAAGAUUGCGUAUCCUUAGAACGUUAUUCGAUUCCGAAUGGUGCUCGAAUUUCUGAAUUGAAUUUCGUUGAGAGCCACAAAUUGGUUGAGAAUCAUGGGAACAACAAGCCAAAUGUAUACUAUUCAGAAAGUCAACUUCAGGAAAUUGGUGGUUCAGUCCUUCUUCCAGGAAAUGAGAUUCCAAGUUGGUUCAGCCAAAUAAAAUAUGAGAGUAAGAGCGGUGCUGAGGACAUGACUUGUGUGUGUUUGAAGAUAGAUCCAGAUUCUCUCCAUUACCUCAAAGGAGUUUCUGUUUGUGCGGUUUUCAAAAACGAAAUCAAUAAGGAAAAAUCAUUUAACAAGGAUGUAAUUGAUCUCAAAAUCAAUGGUGAUUAUGAAAACUUUUGUGAUAUAUCUGAUCGGAUCUACGGCAUCAAGUCAGAUCACAUAAUAUUGUUUCAUAAUGCAUGUGACCCGUUUAAAAAAAAAUAUUGGAAAUGCAAUGGUGAUGGGUGUUACAUUGAGGCUUCAAUUUGUCGACGAAAUUUCUCCAAUGAACGACCAUUGAAGGUGAAAAAGUGGGGAAUUCAUCCAGUAAUUGAUGCGCACAAACGGAGAUAGAAAAGGUAGCUCAAUUUAUUUUUCUUCAACUUUACUAAUAUUCAACUAGGAUUUGUUCAUUUUCUAAAGUGCCAUUAUGACUUAGUAUCUCUCAUUGCAGAAUUUUUGAAGAUAUUUUUUUUCCUAAUCACUAUUUUUUGCUCAAAAGGUAUAAAUUAUCAAUAAUUCCAAACAAAUACUUGAGAUUUGGCAUGAUUCCUUUAUUGUUAAUUUAUAAAAUCUUCCAAAUCAUUAUUUUUAUAAUACAAAAUUUCGGUUUAUCAUCUCCUUCUUUUUCUUACUAAUUUUAAAUUUAGCACAAAUGAUUUUUUUUUCAAUAUUUGGUUUUGUGUGAUUAUCUUUGUUGGGGGAUACACUAAGUCACAUAAGGCCGGAGCGAAUGCGAUAGUGAGAAAGCGGCAAAGUCUAAAAAUUUUGAGAGCGCCCAUAUAUUUACUUAUAUA